AUUGAACGCUGGCGGCAUGCCUUACACAUGCAAGUCGAACGGCAGCACGGGAGCAAUCCUGGUGGCGAGUGGCGAACGGGUGAGUAAUAGUAUCGGAACGUGCCCAGUCGUGGGGAUAACGUAGAGAAAUUUACGGCUAAUACCGCAUACGAUCUAAGGAUGGAAAGCGGGGGGACCGUAAGGCCUCGCGCGAUUGGAGCGGCUGAUAUCAGAUUAGGUUGUUGGUGAGGUAAAAGCUCACCAAGCCGACGAUCUGUAGCUGGUUUGAGAGAACGACCAGCCACACUGGGACUGAGACACGGGUCCAGACUCCUACGGGAGGCAGCAGUGGGGAAUUUUGGACAAUGGACGCAAGUCUGAUCCAGCC
rnacentral:rRNA from 1 species